CUUUAUUAAGGUUAAUUUUACGCAAUUCUCGUUGUACCUGGUCGACAGUAAUUAGAGGUAGAUUCUCUAUACAUUGAAAUUCCAACCAAUUUUCGUUCACUUUCGGAUAAUUCUUAGUUAAGUUUGCAAAAUAAUCGUUUAUAUAAUGAGCAGACUGCUUAUCAUCCAUCUGAAACCCAGUAUUGGGAUCCAACAUUAUUGGUUUAGCAGUUUUCUUGCCGAUCAAGCCCUUCAUUUGUUUCCACCAAGAUUUAGGGUUGUUUUUAAAGUUUGGACUUACUUUAUUCUCGUAGAAAUCAAUUUUCGCUUUCCGAAUUUCUGCCGAGACUUGUCUUCUGAGACUUUUCACACGCUCAACUUUUUUAUUUUUAAAAGCCAUAUUCCUUUUAAGAAUCAACGAUUUUAUUUUAGCUGUCAUAAAAGGUUUAUCCUUACUAUAAACUUUAACCGUUUUUUCCGGAAAAUAUUCAGAAAUCAUAUUCUCAGUGACCUGAAGAAAGUUCCUUUCUCCGUAAUAUGAGACUUGGACUUCCAGCUGAUGAUAUUAUGAUCCGACGUUGACAGUGGGGCUAGGAUUUCCGGAGUUUCGUAACAGUCAGCCAUGUCAGUGAAUAUUAAAUCAAGGAUGUUUCUGUUUCUGAUACAUUUAGGUUUGGUGGAAGGUAUGCGCAUCCUACUGCAAUCCUUGAAAUUGAUCUUGGUAACCACUUUGGGCGGAUAGUAAUCCAUAAGCAUUCAAACAGUUGAUCGUUUAAAUCAUCACGCGUUUUUAGUGGUAUACUUUCAUUGACAUAUAUUGCUACCCCUCCACCUCUACCACACAAUCGAUCUUUUCUGAUAAUGUUCAGACCAGAAACAUUCACAACCUCAUCAGGGAUUACAUCUCUUAACCAUGUUUCUGUCACAAGAAUUAAGUCAGCAAUAUACUUAUCUCUAAGGAUUUCAAGUUCAUUUACCUUAUUGACUAAUGAUCUUGCAUUCAGCAUCAUAAUAUUAGGGACAGCUCUAUUAUUAUCCAGGGGGCGUUGUGCUUUUUCAGGGUGGAUUCUGAUACAGUUAUUAACGCAAUGCGUUCUGACAUUGUUAUUUGGUGAACUUUGUCUCUGUUCUGUUAUUCUAACAGGAAUACUUUGUGUGUUAUUUACCUCAGUACUGUCCGACAAUGUCACAGGAACAAGGUUUCCUGUAUUACGCUUUGAUAAACGUGAGCGAUAUUUACGUUGGGUUAUCACAACGGGAAUAUUAUUGAAUCUGAUUGGAAUGUGAGCCAUUAGACGUAUGUUGAAAAAUUCCCAUGAUGGGUGGUGUUAAAUUUGAUUUCACGUCUAAUGGAAUUUCUAGUGCUUUUCGAUUGCCACAGAUUACAUUUGACAAAUCUUGGCCAGAAACCUUCCGAUUGAACUUCAGACCACAUUGAAGAUGGUAUGUGGAUUUUAGCAGAUUGGGUUCCUCUUCGUUGACUUCGAAACAGAGCAAUGUGAGUAGGUAUUAUAUUUCGUUGCUCUAAAUAGGAUAAGAUCUGAUUCUCUUGCACGCUCUCGUGUAUUCCAGACAGGAAAAGUUUCUUUACUCUUUUCCGCCUUCUGUCAACCCCAAUAAAGCCAUCACCUUCAGUAUUUCUUUGUAAUGGGACACUUAGUAAAGUAUCUUCAGGGUUAUUAACCAUAUUUGGUUUUUCCUUAGGUUUACGGGGUUUUGGAUGCCUUUUAACCACUUGGGCAUAGGAUUCUCGACGCGCCACAACACAGCCAACUUCUCUAUCAGUAAGAGUCUCGUCAGAUUCAUCCGACUGACUAGUGAAUCCUGCUUCAUUGCUUCCUAUAGAAUUUUUUAAUUGAUCUGACACUAAGGUGUCAUUAGCGUCAGUUUCAAUACAGUCUUGGGCAAUAACUUGAUUUACAUUUUCUCUUUCUUCGUUAUGGUUAAUCGACUUUGUCGAAGACCCCUCUGUAAGGCUUGUUUCAUUCUUCCUGAUGAAAUCUUGAAAUUCUGAAAUUACUGAAGUUAUGUGCAAGAUAGAGUUCGACAAUGAUUGAAUUGCCUCGCUAUUCACUUGUUGAUCUUGCUUCAUACAUUCUAUAUCAGUGUAGAAAUCAGGCGAUUCACCCGAAUGAACUUUGCCCAUGUCAUGUACAGACACAGGUUCUGAGAUGUCGUCUUCACACUCACAUAUAUGCUUACAUAAUUCCUUCUUGAAGUUGUUAGCUUUCGAUCCAUUAAAGGACAACAAGUUCUUACUCUUUCUCCAGAGGAUCGUCGAAUCUUCGGUUGUGAAAAGCUUUCUAUCCCCGCCGGGUUGAGACCAAACACCAUCAAGUUUGAAGGUUUCAUAAACAAACCUUUUCAACGAUUCAUAGUCCCCGUUCCAAGCUAAACUUAGCUUGUUUGUUAUCGCCAUAGCAUAAAUCAAAUAACUUAUAACUCUUGUACCAGUUUGGAGCUUAUUAGACAGCUUAUUAAGUUGAAUAUGUUGAAAUCUUAUAAAGAAAUUUAUCGGAGCUAAAUUUUCACGUCCGCCAU